ACUGAAUCGGUAUUAAGAGGCUAUUCAAAUUUAAUUGCAAUAACAUUCUUGUCUUUAUCGUUUUGAAGGAAAUUAAUUUCUUUAUCAGUAUCGAAAUUUCUAUUGGUGUUUGCUAACUGUAAGAUGCCGGUUUCAAGAUUAUUAAAAGAUUUUCUAAUGCCUUCACUAAAUGAAAAAACCUUUGGACAACUAUUGUCUUGGGUUGAAAAGGUCCAAAGAAUACUGAGAACAUUUUGGGAGCACAAAAGAAGUCUUCAGUGGAAUGAACAUUUCGCUGUUUUUAGAGCAUGGGAUAUACUGAAAAGAUGGCUUAUAAGUGCCAACCUUUCUGUGAGGAAACAGAUUCAGCACAGCUAUGCGGAGGCAUAAAGAUGUAGAAAAUAUAAAGUUCUGACAAAAAAUUCAAAUAUUU